GAUGAACGCUGGCGGCGUGCCUAAUACAUGCAAGUCGAGCGAACAGACGAGGAGCUUGCUCCUCUGACGUUAGCGGCGGACGGGUGAGUAACACGUGGAUAACCUACCUAUAAGACUGGGAUAACUUCGGGAAACCGGAGCUAAUACCGGAUAAUAUAUUGAACCGCAUGGUUCAAUAGUGAAAGACGGUUUUGCUGUCACUUAUAGAUGGAUCCGCACCGCAUUAGCUAGUUGGUAAGGUAACGGCUUACCAAGGCAACGAUGCGUAGCCGACCUGAGAGGGUGAUCAGCCACACUGGAACUGAGACACGGUCCAGACUCCUACGGGAGGCAGCAGUAGGGAAUCUUCCGCAAUGGGCGAAAGCCUGACGGAGCAACGCCGCGUGAGUGAUGAAGGUCUUCGGAUCGUAAAACUCUGUUAUUAGGGAAGAACAAAUGUGUAAGUAACUAUGCACGUCUUGACGGUACCUAAUCAGAAAGCCACGGCUAACUACGUG
rnacentral:rRNA from 1 species